AAUACUAUAAUCUAUUUCCAUACUGUUCAGGAGAAUGAGGGAGAAAGCGGACAUCAGGGCUGAAAUAAUCGAAAAGGUAGCUAUGGAAUGAGUCAUUAUUUGUAUAAAUCACUGUGUCUGUAAAUUUGUAUAAUAUGGUAACACUAAAUUCGUUCUGGAACAAGGGUAUAUAUUGUAUUUAUGCUAGUAUCUGAUAUUUAUAUUAUAUUUCCUAUUUUUAUUAUUUAUAUGUGUAUAAAAUUAGAGAAUUAUACGACACUAUAGGUUUCGGAUGAAAAUGGAAGAAAUUAGGGCUCUUCUAAUAGUUUGAAUCAUGGAAGAAUAGCACAGAUGGAUUUUCAGAUUUUGCUCCAAAGGUGCAAAAAAUUCAGGGGGGGGGGAGAGGUGAACUAGGAUUAAUCCAAUUAGCAGUUAAAUUUCUGGGGGAGGGUGCAAAUUUCUCCAGGUGGGGUGGGAAAACUUUCUUAGGGGGUGGAAAGUAUUGUGCACACCCCCCGCCACCCCCCAAAAAUAUAGUUCCAUGGGAUAUUUAAUUAC